AUUUUGACGUAGGCUGUCAAGGCAAAGAGAAGCAACGGUAUAUUCUUGAUAAAAAAUGUAAAAAAGGAAAAAUGCAAGAAAAAAAAACAACUCCAUUUGUUUGGCAGAAAAUAUUUUUCAAAAAAAAACAUUUUACACAUUUUUGUUAUUGGGACGUCUAAGAACAUUGGUCAAUAAAAAAUGUUUUUCUGGCCAAAAUGAGAAUAGAAUCUGAUUUCAAAAAUAGCAGUCAUUUUCUGACCUAUAGCCAUUAAUUUACUGAUUAUGUUUGGUGACAGCCACCGGUCACUUGUUAUUUUGAGUAUUGCAACCAAAUCAAAAAAACUUAAGUCAAUUGGGAAAUAUUAUUCAUAUAAAAGUUAUUUCCCACAAAAUAAACAGAGACUAAAGUGAACUACAUUUGCAUGAGCAUAACUACUAUCACCCUCGGCCUCUUCCAUACAAAACACGAUUUUAACCACUUUGACAUUUUCUCCCCAUUUUUUUUUGUGCUGAAUGCACAAUCCUGGACGUUGGCAGGCAACUAAUAAGACUAGCAAUCACAAUAAAAUCAAGAGAAUUGCCCUGAUAAAGAUACAAACAAAAGUCUACAAGAGAUUCUCCAAAACAUAAUUAAAAAAGUAUGAGAAAAGGUCAUACCAAAGCUG
rnacentral:misc_RNA from 1 species